ensembl:Y_RNA Y_RNA Y RNA
GGCUGGUCCAAGUGCAGUGGUGUUUACAACUAAUUGAUCACAACCAGUUACAGAUUUCUUUGUUCCUUCUCCACUCCCACUGCUUCACUUGACUAGCCUUAA